rnacentral:rRNA from 1 species
UUCUUUCGGGAUGUGGCAGUGGGGAAUUUUGGACAAUGGGGGCAAGCCUGAUCCAGCCAUGCCGCGUGAAUGAAGAAGGCCUUCUGGUGUAGAGCUCAACGUCGUGUAAAAGAAAGAAAGGCUUAAAAUGCUAAAAAAUGACGGAACUUUCUGUUAGUCCACCGGAUUUU